rnacentral:rRNA from 1 species
CGACCGGCGCACGGGUGAGUAACACGUAUGCAACCUGCCCGUCUCAGGGGGAUAAUCGUCGGAAACGGCGUCUAAUACCCCGUAUGAAGCUGGACGGCAUCGUCUGGUUUUGAAAGAAUAUCGGAGACGGAUGGGCAUGCGGCGCAUUAGCUAGUUGGCGGGGUAACGGCCCACCAAGGCGACGAUGCGUAGGGGUUCUGAGAGGAAGGUCACCCACACUGGUACUGAGACACGGACCAGACUCCUACGGAAGGCAGCAG